rnacentral:misc_RNA from 1 species
CGCCCGUCACACCACGAGAGUUUGUAACACCCGAAGUCGGUGAGGUAACCUUUUGGAGCCAGCCGCCGAAGGUGGGAUAGAUGAUUGGGGUGAAGUCGUAACAAGGUAGCCGUAUCGGAAGGUGCGGCUGGAUCACCUCCUUUCUAAGGAUUUUUCGGAAUCAUUCCCUUGGGGAAUGAAACAUUAACGGUUGCUGUUCAGUUUUGAAGGUUCAUUCUUAAAUGAAUGAAAUACUUCAAAACAUUCGUUCUUUGAAAACUGGAUAAAACGACAUUGAAAGCAAUAAAUCAAAUUUCUAUUUUAUAGAUUUUUAAACAAGUCAAGCAAUUGACGUGUAAACUUAAAUCUUGGAUUUUUUCCAAGUGUUAACUUUUGGUUAAGUUAAUAAGGGCGCACGGUGGAUGCCUUGGCACUAGGAGUCGAUGAACGACAGAA